AACGCACCUUGCGCUCCUUGGUAUUCCGAGGAGCAUGCCUGUUUGAGUGUCAUUAAUAUAUCAACCUCCUCAACUUGUGUUGAGUGUUGGAUGUGGGGGUUCUUUCUUUGCUGGCUUCACGGUCAGCUCCCCUGAAAUGCAUUAGCGGAACAACCUGUUCACUGUUCAUUGGCGUGAUAACUAUCUACGCUGCUUGUUGACAGUGAAGCAAGUUCAGCUUCUAACAGUCCAUUAAAUUGGACAAAUUUUUAUUAAUGUGACCUCAAAUCAGGUAGGACUACCCGCUGAACUUAA
rnacentral:misc_RNA from 2 species